UUGGAAGUAGAGAAAGCACCAGACUGCCAAGCAGUGGUGUCUCCGUGAGAGUCACCUGCCUUGUCAUGUGGGUCUGGGAUUGUGAAGACAACUCUCAGACCUCGGAAGCCCUUGCUGUAAACACAGAGGCUGUGAUGCACCCAUGGCUAUGUAGUGUGUCUCAGGGAAGGAAGCGGAAAUGCUAAUCACCCUCCUCCAUUACCUGUCAUUGAUUUGGAGUGGAAGAGCAGGGCCAAGCCGAGGCUUCCUUCCUCUCCAGUGCUUCCUCUUGGUUGUGCUAAUUACUUCUUAACCAGAGACCAGCCCUCAGCUCACCAGCAGUAAGAGACAGCACCAAGGAUCGGCCGGGGGACUUGAGGGCUGAGGGACUGAUAUUGUCUCUGGACUCUGGGACUCAACUUGCGAAAAAAACUCCAGAACUUAAAAACUCAGCUUAUUCAUCGAUCGGUAUUGAUUGCCUACAACGUGGCCUAGAGAACAUUCAAGGCUGUCCUGAGUUUUUGUCUUUGGAAAGAUAUGAAAUGAGCUGAAAAAAAUACUCCCAAAUAAUUCCCUUUUAUUUAUAUCAUCAUAGAACACUCCCCAUACAGAUACACACGCACGUGCAUGCACUUGCUUCUGAGCUGCACAUCCCAAGGUAGACACUGAAAAUAUUCUUCUCGCUGAACUA